CUGCUCAAGACAUCGAGACACGUCGAGGAACGAAUGUAAUAUGUAUUGUCUCGAUUGCAUGAAACAUGCAUUUUGCUUCUACUGCCGAUCCUCCGCACACAAAGAUCAUCUCGUGAUUCAGAUCAGACGGUCGUCAUACCACGAUGUUGUAAGGGUUAGUGAAGUUGAAAAAGUAUUGGAUAUAAGUGGAGUCCAAACUUAGGUGAUAAACAGCGCAAGAGUUGUUUUCUUAAACGAGAGACCACUUCACCCUAAAACCGCCACCACUAGCGGCGGCGGCGGCAGCAAAGGGGUGUCUCAUCUAUGUGAAACCUGUGGCAGAAGCCUUCUGGAUCCCUUUCGUUUCUGCAUUUUGGGAUGCAAGCUUGUAGGAAUAAGGCAAAAGGGAGACACGAGCUUAGUUUUAAGCAUCAAGAAUAACGAGGAAGAAUUACGUGAAGGAGGAGAUGAAGAAACUUAUAAUAAUAUAUGUAAAGCUCAUUCUAAUUCAACGAGAAGAAAAGGUAUCCCUCAUAGGGC